CCUACGGGUGGCAGCAGUGGGGAAUAUUGCACAAUGGGGGGAACCUUGAUGCAGCAACGCCGCGUGGGUGAUGAAGUAUUUCGGUAUGUAAAGUUCUGUCAGCAGGGAAGAAAAUGACGGUACCUGACUAAGAAGCCCCGGCUAACUACGUGCCAGCAGCCGCGGUAAUACGUAGGGGGCAAGCGUUAUCCGGAUUUACUGGGUGUAAAGGGAGCGUAGACGGCAGGGCAAGUCUGAAGUGAAAGCCCGGGGCCCAACCCCGGGACUGCAUUGGAAACUGUGGAACUGGAGUGCAGGAGGGGUAAGCGGAAUUCCAAGUGUAGCGGUGAAAUGCGUAGAUAUAGGGAAGAACACCAGUGGCGAAAGCGGCUUACUGGACUGUAACUGACGUUGAGGCUCGAAGGCGUGGGGAGCAAACAGGAUUAGAUACCCGUGUAGUC
rnacentral:rRNA from 1 species